CCCACGUUCAGAUUGCAGGCUGCAACUCGCCUGCAUGAAGUCGGAAUUGCUAGUAAUCGCGGAUCAGCAUGCCGCGGUGAAUACGUUCCCGGGCCUUGUACACACCGCCCGUCACACCAUGGGAGCCGGUAACACCCGAAGUCAGUGACCUAACCGAGAGGAAGGAGCUGCCGGAGGCGGGGCAGGUAACUGGGGUGAAGUCGUAACAAGGUAAC
rnacentral:rRNA from 1 species